GGGGGUUUAGUUCAGCGGUAGAACAACGGUCUCCAAAACCGUAGACGAGGGUUCAAUUCCUUCAACCCCUGCCA
rnacentral:tRNA from 1 species